AGUUGCCUUUACCAAGUACUCAUCUGUUUCUUCUUCCUUUCUCCUUUGAUAUUAAAUUACUUUGAUAGAUACCACUCUAAAUUUUAGAUGUUAUCUAUAAAAUAAUGUGAUAGAUAUGAAGAAGAAAGAGCAUUAGGAGGGAAAAUAAAUGUGGGUGAGUUUUGUUUGCUUAAGGCAUGAGGUUUUAUUUUUCCUAAAUACCCCCCACAGAAUAGGGUAGAGAGGUCGCCAUCUCCAGUUCUCAACAUGAAUAGCAGGCACAGCUUGCAGAAAGCUCUUUUUCUGUAGCUCUGCCCCAAUGAGAAGAUCCUGUACUGAUUCUGGGUUCAUCAAAACUAAAAAACCAGAGAAGCUAAAUCUGAAUGAGUAGAGAGCUGUGCCAGCCAUCUGAGAAAAAUUGAACCCUAACUGUUGCCCAGUAUCGCCUCGUCCCUACUGGAGCUAAUGCUUUGUUCUGAGCCAUUGUCUUCAGACUCAUAGGAGGUGUUACUACCUUUGCAACUCCUCGCCUUAACUUCUCCUUAACCUUGGCCUCUCAACCGCUAAAAAAAAAAAAUUACCAAGUCUACCGAAUUCCAUCAAGUAGCUUUUAGUAGUGGAUCUGCUUUUAGGUGAAUAUUAGCAUAUUGAGUAUUAGAAUAUUGCCAUAGCAUAAGCUAUUGAAGAAAUUCAUGAGCCACCACUGUAGAUAGACCAGUUGAGGAUAUAGCUCUGAUUUGUGCCCAAGACUUAAUUUCUAAAGUUGGCUGGGUGACAAUGCAGAGAAGUCCAUGCUGUUGGAAGAAAAAUUUAUUGUUACUCGUAUUUCUACUAGAAAUGAGAGGCAUGCACUCAGGGCCACAUGGGGAAGAACCAGAGCCAGAAAGCAAAAGCAGGAGUGAGGGUGAGAGCCUUUAUUGUGUUUAGUGGGAAAUACCAGGCAGGGCAGUGGAAAUAGCUUGGGAUUGUCUAGUUUGGAUGGUGGUGGUGGGUUCUGGGCUAUAAGGGCAGGUUCUAUUUCUCUGGUAUUGAGCUCUGGUUGAUUAAGACCAACGACUCUUUUCUCCUGGACUGUAAGAGCCAAACAAAGGAGGUGGCUCAGAGUGUGGGCUCUGGAUUGAUUGGUUCUCAUAUGAAAGGUAUGGACCCUUCCUUAUGGACCCUUUGCUGCCUCUGACUGGUCAGCCUGUACGGGGCAGUCUUACCAAUUGGUGAGGCCCUCAAAGAUAUCAAAACAUCAUAAGCCUUUUUUUAACACAUGAUUAAUAUGAUUGUCCUCUGAUGUUUUAGCAACAUAUUAAGGAAACUUUGGAGUGAUGAUAAUGGAGACAUUAAAGAGUAAGUCAUACAUUACCUUGAACAGCACAGAAAGCAUUUGUUUGUUUGUUUGUUUUUUAAUGUGGCAUUAGUCACCAUAGAGUACUUCAUUCGUUUUUGAUGUAGUGUUCCAUGAUUCACUAUUUGUGUUAUAACACCCAGUGCUCAUUGCAUCAGGUGCUCUCCGUAAUACCCAUCACUGAGCUAACCCAUUCCCCUACGCUUCUCUCCUCUGAAACCCUCAGAUUGUUUCCUGAAGUCCAUAGUCUCUCAUAGUUUGUCUUCUGCUCUGAUUUUUCCCCACUUCAGUUUUCCCUUUCUUCCCCUAAUGUCCUCCAAAGUGUUUUAUUAUGAUAGUUCAAAGGAGCAGCAUGGGGGGGGGGGGCGGUGCAAGGAGUCCUUAAGGCCGGUCCAUAACUAAGGUUUCCAUUUAUAUACAUUAGCCAAGAUCAUAGAUCUGGAGUCUUGUGCGGGGGGUGGAGUGUGGGGGGGAAGUCUUCAAUGCUGUCUUAGCAGAGUUGUAAAGUAUGAGUGUGAUAAUAAUAUCUUGAUCUAUUUCUCGAGUCCAGACAGCAGGUCCAACAGUUAUGCUCUUGGAGUAUAUAAUUUAGUAAAUACAUUAACAAUUAAGUGGUAAGUGCUUGUAACCAAGGGAAAGGAGUGUUACGAUUUGAGACACAAGGUAGGAGGUGCUGGUGGAAAGUUGGAGAGGGCAGCAGGAGAAGGCAAUGGAGAGUGAGUGAGCAGUCCUCUCCCAGAGACUUGAGGGGUUGACUGAGAGAAGGCAAAGUGCUUCCUGAAGGAAGUAAUAAUCAACAUUCAGUUUUUGAAUAGUACAGAUAGUAAUCUCCAGAUUUCUCUCUGGAAAUCUUUUAAGCAUUUUUUUAAGCAUGGGAGUGUAGGGGUCUGGUUUGGGCAGAGAGCAAGGAAUAUACCAUGGUAAUGUGCUAAACAGGCAGCAAGCUCAGAAAUGAAAUAGAAUCCCUAAUUUUGGAGGAAGAGAAGCAAAAAUGCCCUGUAUCCAAUUUGUGGCUUAACAAAGGCAGGCUAUGGGCGUAAGUUCUAGUGUCCAAAGCAGAGUUGUCUCCAGUUAGCAAGCUCAUGGGCUGGGAAAUGUCAUCUGAACAGUGAGCUUCUGGGCCAGAGUGAUGUUGUCUGGGGUGUGGGACUUGGGGUAUUCAUUUUAAGUGGGUACCCAUUCAGGUUGAUGUGGGUCUCAAUGUUUGCUAUGUUUGCUUGAAACAGUGGUUUACUUGAGGUGUUUGCAAACAAAUGAAAGCAACCAGACCAGCAGUAAUAAGACCAACAGUCAGUAGAAGAGUGAAUAGCUACACCUGGCAGAGUUUUUGUUUUUGGUUUUUGGUUCAGGUUCACUUGGGUCCCUUAUCAGUUGAGCAGCUGCCUGACCUAUGGGAAUAUCUGUGAUUAAUGGGUCCCAAGAAAGUACGUGCUCUCAGUCUGGCCUUUAGCACCUGUGGGAUGGGGGCAAGAUAGAAAAAUUUAUAGAGAAUGAGAAAUCUUGUUAAACAGACUAACAUGUAAUGAGUUUCUAAUAUGCACGAAGGCAACACAUAUCCCCCUUUAAUUUUUUUAAUUUAAAUUUGAGGUAGUUAACAUACAGUACAAUACUGGUUUUUGGAGUAGAAUCCAGUGAUUCACCACUUACAUACAAUACCCAGUGCUCAUCACAACAAUUGCCCUCCUCAAUACCCAUCACCCACUUAGCCCAUCCCCCACCCACCUCCCUCUAUCACCCCUCAGUUUGUUCUUUAUCAUUAAGAGUUUUUUUUUUUUAAGGUUAUUUAUUUAUUUGACAGAGAUCACAAGUAGGCAGAGAGAGAGGGGGAAGCAGGCUCCCUGCUGAGCAGAGAGCCCUAUGCGGGACUCGAUCCCAGGACCCUGAGAUCAUGACCUGAGCCGAAGGCAGCGGCUUAACCCACUGAGCCACCCAGGCACCCAGGGUAACUCUAUUUUUAACAUUUUGAGAAACCUCCAUACUGUUCUCCAGAGUGGCUGCACCAGUAUGCAUUCCCACCAACAGAGCAUGAUGGUUCCCUUUCUCUGUAUCCUCAUCAACACCUAUUGUUUCUUAUGUUGUUAAUUUUAGCCAUCCUGACAGGUUGAGAUGCUAUCUCUUUGUGGUUUUUAUUUGUAUUUCCCUGAGGAUAAGUGAUGUUGAACAUCUUUUCAUGUUUCUGUUAGCUGUCUGAGCACAUACUCCCCUUUAAGUAGAGGAGAGUACAAUUAGAGCAUUUUUUUCCAGCUUUAUUAAAAACAGAUAAAUAUAAUUACAUACAUUCAAAGUGUACAACAUGAUGAUUUGAUAUAUAUGUACAUUGAGAUAAUUAACACAUCUGUCACUUCACAUAGUGUGUGUAUGAUGAGAAUGCUUAAGAUCUACUUACUUUCAGUCACUUUCAAGAACACAAUACUAUAUAAUUAACUAGUCUCUGUGCUAUAUAUUAAAUCCUAGGAACUUUUAUAACUGAAAGUUUGUACCCUUUGACCUACAUCCUCCCAUUUCCCUCUCUCCCCAGUCCCUAGCAAACACCAUUCCAUUCCUUAUAUCUAUCAAAUCAGGUUUUUUUUAAAAUUCCAUAUAUAAUGAUACCAUACAGUAUUUGUCUUUCUUUGUCUGACUUCUUUUACUUAGCAUAAUUCAUCCCUGUUGUCACAAAUGACAAGAUUUCCUUAAGACAGAAUAAUACUCCAUUGUGUGUGUGUGUGUGUAUGUAUCAGAUUUUCUUUAUCCAUUCAUCCAUUUAGGUUGUUUCCAUAUUUUGGCUGUUGCAAAUAUGCUACAGUGAACAUGGGAGGGCAGACAUUUCUUCGAAAUAUGAAUUUUAUUCCUUAUGUGAGUUCAUUUAAUUUCCUGUAUGGUUUACAAAUAUUUUUCCCUAUUCUAUAGGUUGUUUUUUCAAUUUAUUAAUUAUUUUCUUUGCUGUAUGGAAGCACUUUAGUUUGAUGUGGUCCUACUUGUUUAUUUUAGCUUUCCUUGCCUGUGCUUUGGGCAUCUUAUCCAAAAAGACAUCAUUCCUUCUCUUCAUUUUCUUCUUUGAGAUUUAUGUUUUCAGAUCUUGCAUUUAAGUCUUUAAUCCAUUUUGAGUCAGUUUUCAUGGGUAUAAGAUAGCUAUCCAGUUUCGUUCUUUCGUAUGUGGAUAUCCAGUUUUCCCAACCUCAUUUAUUGAAGAGGUUAUCUUUUUCUCAUUUUGUAUGUUUUCUUGGCACCCUUGUCAAGGUUAUGUGUCCAUCUCUGCAUGGGUUUAUUUUGGUGCUGUUUGUUCUAUUCUACUAGUCUACAUGACUGUUUAUGCCAGUGUGACACUAUUUUAAUUAUUGUAACUUUAUAAUGUUUGAAAUCAUAAAUAUAAUGCUACCAACUUUAUACAUCUUUCUCAAGAUUUCUUUGGCUAUUGGGGUAUUUUGUGCUUCCAUAUGAAUUUUGGGAUUCUUUUUUCUAUCUCUAGAAAUACCAUUGGAAUUUUGAUAGGGACCACAUUGAAUCUGUAGAUCAUUUUGGGUAGUAUGCACAUUGUUACAAUACCUAUUCUUCAAAUGUAAGAACAUAAGAUACCUUUCCAUUUAUUUGUGUCUUCCAUUUCUUUCCUCAGUGUCUCAUAGUUUUCAAUGUACAAGUCUUUCCUUUCCUGGGAUAAAUUUAUUUCGAUGUAUUUUAUUUUUGAUAAAAUUAUAAAUGGGAUUUUUUAAAAAUUUCUCUUUCUGAUAGUUUGCUGUUAGUGUAUAGAAAUGCAACUGAUUUUGUAUCCUGGGACUUUACUGAAUUCAUUGAUUAGUUCUAUGAGGUUUUUGGUAGGACAUUUGGGGUUUUCUAUUUAUGAGAUAAUUUUACUUUUUCCUGUCCAGUUUGAAUGCCUUUUAUUUCUGUUUCUUGCUCAAUUGAUGUGGCUAGGAUUUUCAGUAUUGUCUUUAAUAAAAGUGGCAAAAGUAGGCAUCCUUGUCUUGCUCAUGAUCUUAGAGGAAAGGCUUUUAACUUUUCACUUUUAAGUGUGUUGUUAGCUGUGGGCUUGUCAUACAUAGCCUUUAUGAUGUUGAGAAACAUUCAUUCUACAUAUAAUUUGUUGAGAGUUUUUAUUAUGAAAAGAUGUUGAAUACUUUUCCUGAAUUAUUGAAAACAUCACAUACAUUUGAUCUUUCAUUCUGUUAAUGUGGGUAUCACAUUGGUUGAUUUGUAUAUGUUGAACCUUCCCUGCAUCCCAGGGACAAACCCCUCUUGAUCCUGAUGAAAAUAACUUAAAUCAUGGGUAAAUCUUUUCCACGUGCUCCUGAAUUUGGUUUAAUAGUAUUGAGGAUUUUGUGAAUCUAUCUUCAUCAGAUAUAUUGGUCUGUAAUUUUCUUUUAAAGUGUCCUUACCUGGUUUUGUGUCAGAGUAAUAAUGCCCUUGUAAAGUAAGUUUGGAAAUGUUCCCUUUUCUUCCAUUUUUCAGAUAGUUUGAGAAGAAUUGGUAUUAUUUAAAUGAUUGAUAGAAUUUGCAAGUGGAUCAUGACCUGAGCUGAAAUCACGAAUCGUAUGCUUAACCAGCUGGGAGAGAGAAUCUCAAGGAGACUCCCUGCUGAGCCUGGAGCCUGUUGUGGGGCUCAGUGUCACAACAUUGAGAUCAUGACCUGAGCCAAAAUCAACAGUCAGACGAUUAACUGACCGAACCACCUAGUUGCCUCAUCUUUGUCUUUCAGUUUUGAGACUUUCCUUAUCAUGUGUCUCAGUGAAGAUCUCUCUAAGUUGAAUCUGUUUGAGGACCUUUGAGCUUCAUAUACCUGGAUGCUCCCUCUCUCACAGUUUUGGAAGCUUUCUUCCAUUAUUUCUUUAAAUGAUUUUCUGUCUCUUUAUCUCUUCUCCUUUUGUGGUAUUCAUAAUAUGAACAUUUAAAAAAAUUUUACUUAUUUGAGAGAGUGAGUGAGAGAGAGGGCAUGAACUGUGUGGGGGAGAAGCAGUGGGUGAGGGAGAAGCAGACUUUCUGCUGAGCAGAGAUCCUGAUGCAAGGCUUGACCCCAGAACCCAGAGAUAAUGACCUGAGUGAAAGGCAGAUGCUUAACUGACUGAGCCACCUACGUUCCCCAGUGUGAACAUUUUUUGCUUACUGGUGUCUCAUAACUCACAUAGGUUUCCUCUAAUUUUUUCUUGCCUCUGAUUGGGUAAUAUCAAUGCUCUGUCUUUAAGUUCAGAGAUUCUUUUUUCAAAUUGUUCAGCUUGCUAUUGGAGCUCUCUGUUGCAUUUUUCAUUUAAUAUACUGUAUCCUUCACAUCUAGAAUUUUUGUGUGGUUCUUUUUUUUUAUGGUUUCUGAUUUUUUGUUGAAGUAUUUGUUUCAUUCAUGCAUUAUUUUCCUGAAUUCAUUGAUUUGUUUUCCUGAUUUUCACUGAGAUUCCUUAAAAUAAUUAUUUUGAAUUCUUUUUCAAGUUACUCACAGAAUUCCAGUUCUUUGGGGUCAGUUGCCAGAAAGUUUUUGUGUUCUUUUUGACAUGUCGUGUGUACUUGUUUUUUGAGUGUGUUUCUAGUGGGUUUAUAUUGGUAUCUGAGCAUUUGAGGGAGAAUCUACUUCCUCCAGCCUUUUUAGACUAGCUUUGGUGGGGAAAGACUUUUACCUGAAUGUGGGCUGUGAGGGCACUAGCUGAGUAGGGUAUAUUUCUGUUCUGGGAAGAGGACUGUGGCGUAGUCUUCAUGUGGGUCUGUUAGAUGAGAUCAGUGUCAGUAAAAGCUGUGGGGCUCUUUGGUGGCCCAAACUGUGGAGGGCUUGCUGGUGUCAGUUGUGGCUAGGGCUACUGCAAUCCUUGGUGGUAAAGGCUGCUGAGGUUGUCCUGUUCUCCUUUGUUGCCCAUGGAAGGAAGUUCUAGUUGAAAGCAUCCCUUCUGGCACCAAGUCAGCACAAUGAUCAUCCUUGAAGCUGUGUCCAGAGCUGGGUUGCGUGCACAGCCACCAUCGUGCCUAGGUCCUGAGGCGAAGGAGCACAUGCUACAGUUGGGACAACCACAUCUGAGGUUCUGGCAUUUGCAGCUCUCCCAUGGAUCCAGGAUCUGGGUCUUGGCUUGUGCAUGACUUGAGCCCCAGGUGCAUGGUAUGCAGUAGUGGCACAGAGCCUAGGAUGAGAGAGUACAGCAGUGGCCUGGGCCCAGGGGAAGGGGAUAGUGUCAGUACACCCUGGGGAGAAUGUGAAAGUUCCAACUCUGACCCCAGGGGGCAGAGGGCACAGUAACAGCAGCCUCGCCCCAGUUAUGUUGGAUCGAAUCUCCAGCUCAGGAACCAGAGAGAGAACACAGAACUGUAGUGGUGUGGCCUGGGACUUGGACUUGGGUCAGCACCUGGACUUGGGACUUGGGGGCAGGGCACAGAGCAGUAGUAGCAACAGCACAGCUCCUGCAUUGGAGAACCAAUGCCCUAACUUAGGACAUGGGAGGUGAGUCAGAGGGUAGUGCAGCAGCAUUCCAGGGUCAUGGCAGGCCGAAGCUGUGACUUGGGGUCCAGCAGCAGCAGCUCGGCCUGUGAUGGCAGGUCAAGCUGUGACAUGGGGACGAGGUGUAGAGCAGUGGCAGCUCUACCCCAGUAACCGUGGGUCAGAACCCUGACUUGGACUGCUGCAAGAACACAACUGUGUGCUGGUGGGUCAAAGCCAUGACUUAGGAGCCUGGGGGCAGCUCUCACCACAGGGGCUGCUCCAGCCCCAGGAAGGAGACCCUGUGUGACUCUGAGCAGCUCCGUCCACUAGACUCAGCAUUGGUGAAGAUUGUUGGGGUCCUCAGUAGAAAGGCUAUAAAUGUCCACUGCUGGAGGCCCCUGCUCUCCUUUGCCUGUGGGGUGCAGUACCUCUGAGGGAUCCCUCCUGGUGCUGAGCAACUCUGGACUGGGGGUCGGGAUAGUGCAGGUAAAAAUGAUUCUCACACUUUUCCAUGUGGCCGUCCUUUGGUUUUGAGCUCUGCAAGGUUUUUUGUUGCUGCUUUUUUAUAGUCUAGAGCUUUCCCAGAGCUGUUUUCAUUGGUGUGUAGUUAUUUCUUUGUUGCCUUUGUUGUUUUUGUGGGAGAGAUGAGCAUUGGGACCACCUAUCCCAACAACUUGCCAGAUACUUUGGGGGGAGUUUUUUAAAGGUUGAUUGAGGGGUGAAUCAGCCACGAUGUCCUGAAUUAAGAGACAUUAAGUUCCGGGGCAUGAUUGGGCCUCUUGAGGGUCUGUUUGCUAGACUCGAAUUUGAAAAGGAACUGAGGAGAUCAUUAUUUUUCAAUUAAACCGGUUAUCUGGAACCUAGCAGGGACAUGAAAGUUCUAUUGAACACCUUUUCCAAAAGCCCAACAUUGCAUAUUCUGAGAAGUGGCGUGUGUGUCUUGAUUCCUAUUCAUAAUGCCUGUAACCUCCAGCGGAGUAAGGAGUGUCCUGGCAAGGACUUCUGUUGUGUGCCUAGUAUAUGUGUGAAUUUUGUUUGUAUUGUAGAUAUCUGUGAGAGACAAGAUUCCCAGAGAUUUUUAUCCUGACAAGGACAACCCUUAGGCAGUAGCAACAGGUGUGAUAUGGUCACUGAGCGGAGCAUCUAGUGCUAAGAUGACUGCCUAAAGUUUAGCCAAUUGUGCCUACACUUGGGGUCCUAUCUUUUAGUUAGAGGGACAUCCUGGUUAGGAAAUAGAAAGUUGCUAGGUUCCUCUGAGUUCUCCAUCAUUUUUAUAAAAGUGGGCAAUGCCAUUUAUAUGGUUUAUGAACGUUCACUGCUGUUCACUAAGUUAAUCCUAAGGGCUCCUCAGGUAGUCAAGGGUCUGGGGAGGGUGACCUCCUCCAGCCCAGUUGCAUCUGGCAAGGGAUUGAGGACAGGGGACAGCCCCCACCUGUAGGUGGCCUGUAUGUAUUCCUGUAGAAUGGAGCCUGAGUUUGGCUUCAUUCUAAAUCAAGGAGGACUCACUACUCAUGCGGGCCUUGGGGGGUGCUACUUUCAUGACCUGGGGGCAUCUGGAUCCAGAGAUACAGCCCAAUGUCUUUGAGAACCUCUGUUUGCAGGAGAAUCUGGCAUGUGGCCAGUCAUUUUUUGUUUCAAUGGAACAUAGCCUGAGGCUGAAAGGGUCAGUUUCUUUCAUCUAAAGCCUUUAGGCCACUUAACAGUCACAUCAGGGUCCAGAGAUGCCAGGUGACCGGAGAAGAGGUUGCCCAGAUCUGUUGAGUGAGGGAGUCUCUGAGGGCAGUGCCUAUUGAUGUUAACUUGGUCAGAUUUCAGAAGUUUUUUCCGAGGGAGCCCCAUUUAAGGGGGCUGAUUUGUAAGUAGCAGCAUCAAUGAGAUUAAGCACAAUUUGUAAAUGAGGACUCCAUGGUCAUCAGAACCCAAAAAGUACUGAAAGAUGUUAGGCCUGUAUGUUUUUGGCGAGUAUGUCAGAUGACUCGCAAGGUCCUUGUGAUGCCAUGCCUGUGCUCCUGGAGAGGAUGAGUGGAGAAAACAUCUUGCCUACAAAGUUGUUGUGGUACCCCACAGGGAGCCUGGAGAAGGUGGCUAUGUCCCUCCAAGGUGAAGGUGAAGUGUGCUUGAGAGACCGUUGCAUUAGGCACUGAGUAGAGUGUACUAGCUGAACGUCUAAGAGCGAGAUAUUUACCAGUUACUGAUUCAAUAGAAUUAGUGAUUUUAAGAAUAUUGAAUAUUGGGUAUCAGGGACCUAAUGUAUGGGACCACAGCAGUAGGAUGGCAGUAAUCCACCAUGAAGGACCUUUAUGUUCCCUGGGUUUAAGAACAGGCAAAUUUGGGCUAUAAAAGUGGAGAAGCAACUGUGAUAAUCACCCCUUUGUGAAUUAGGUUUUGUAGAAUAAAUUUUAAUUCUUGAAGAGCCUUAUUACAUUGGGCCAGGUAAACUAUUUAAAGGGUGUGGGGGAAGAUCAUGGAGUCCCAUUUUUAUCAAUCUAAUUUGUAAGUGACAAAGACUUACAUUACUUUUAAUUUAUUAUUCAUUGUGUUAGAGUGUCUAUACAGGUGGUAUUUUAGGGGAGUUGGUACUGUCACUACAGGAAAUUGAGACAAAACUACAGUUAUGGUGAGGCAGACCUAUAUUUUUUUCUGUUUCCUAUUCAGUUACUUUUUUUCAGAUUAUAAGAGCUGUAGUGUCUAAACUUAGUAGAAUCCUCAGGUGUAAUUCCCCCUGCCGUAUUGAUUAAGUCCAAGAAGUUUUGUCAUUGAGGCACUUUAGCAAAAUGUUCAAGUUAAUUUAGAACCUACAUCUAAGGUUGUAGAGGCACAAAAACCAAUGAGCACUUUUUAAAUUUUCUGGUUAUAGAAAUCUUCUGGUAUAUAAAUCUUAUAUUUGCUCCAUACAUAACUAUGCUGCAUAAUUUGUUACGUAAAAUUUUGUUAUAUCAUCUGCUGUUGCAUCCAAGAGAGUGGUGCUGGCAGUAUCCUGAGUUUGUGACCAUGUAGAUUUAAGGAGGAGGCACGUAUCCUGUUGAUAGGCAGCAGCACUUAUGAGUGCCCAGAUGUACUGGCCAGGACAUUUGCCAUCUUGGAUGAGUUGAGAAUCUUCCUCAGGUCCUAGGGGAAGCAGGAACAGACUACUUCUCUGCCCUUGUCCUUUUUCUUCUUCUCCUUCUUCUUCUUAUUCUUUUUUUUUUUGAGAUGGAAUCUCCUUUGAACAUUGAGCUACCAGUCUCCUUGGAAAGGAUUCUUUAAAUUGCAAAUCACAAUGACAGAAAUGUAAGUGACAACAACAAAGAGAUCUACCCUCGAAGUAACUUUUCUUUUUUAGAGAGACAGAGAAAGAGCAUGAGUGGGGGCGGAGGGAGAGAGAGAAUCUUAAGCAGUCUCCACACCUAGUGACCCAAUGUGGGGCUUGAUCUCACAAUCCCAAUAUCAUGACUUGAGCUGAAACCAAGAGUCAGAUGCUUAACCAACUGAACCACCCAGGUGCCCCUUGAAGCAACUUGUUAAGCCUUAUGGGGACCGUGGUUUCCAUGAAGAGGGCACUCAGACUCAUGUCACCAAUAGAUUGCUAUAGUGUACUGGCGACUAACACUUGGACUUUUGCCAGCGACACUUUCUAAAAGGGAGAUAGUCUGGAAGAAGUUGGCAUCAGUGUGAUGGGAUCAGUUGAGAAGGGAGUUAACAGUUGAGCAGCCCCGACUGACUUUGCCAUUGCUGGCAUAGACAAUCGGCUCACAUCCCAGUACAGUCUGUUGGAGGAAGUCACUCAAUGCUCCUGGUUGGGAAAAGCCUCUGCCCUGGGUGUUGGGCAGUUAUCCUAGUCCCUGAGGGGUCCUCAGUCUAGAAACAAGGCAUAUCAGGGCAGGGAAUCAUGUGGGAGCUAUGAGUCCAGUUAUUUAUCCCACAAGGUGCCAAGUAGAGAAUGUGGGUUACCAUCAGCUUAGGCCACAGCACUUGAGAGUGAAUGAGGACCAUGGACAUGCACGCAUUGAGGUCCUCCUCCAAGUUAGGCUGGAACGCCAUGUCAGCAGAUGGUAGCUGACAGGGGACACAUGUGCCAGCACCUGGCGGUAUAGACUACUUAGUGAGUCUGUUUAGUAGAUCAGGAGCAGUAAAGAGGAGGUCCCUCUGUCAAAGCCAGUCACCCUUCUUGCUCUACCAGUUGCAAUAAACUCUACCUACAGGAUUUUAAUUUAUGGAGAUGACUGAGUGACAACAUGGAAAAGCUAAUGCUAUGCCACAAAAGGCCACAGGGAGAUGCCAGAGCCACUCAGGAGGCAGCAGUAGGAAUGCUGGGAAAGUAUGGGGGAGAGCCUUUAGUGUUUUUGCAGGAAAUGCCAAGCAGGGCAAAGGAACAUCUUAGGAUAGGCUAAUUUGGGUAAUGUCAGGGGCUCUUGGCUAUAAGACUGACUCUUGGCUGAUUGACCUCCAGUGGUGUGGUGCUGAUGCUGGGUGAUCAGGACACGAGGACUUUUGCCUCCUGGCAUGCAAAAACCAGAUAGAGGAAGCAGCUGAGAGUGGGGGCUCUGGUUUGGUUGGUUUUCAUACAGAAGAUAUGCACUGUUUCUAAGACUUGGCCAGACCAGGAGGAGCAGUCUCUCCGUAGUCAGGGAGGCCCCAAUGUUGCCAAAAUGUCACAAAUAUUUCAAAAAAUAUGAUUAAAGGAGCUCAUUCUAGCAUUCUGGCUAUAGCCUCUGUAAUAGAGUCAUACUUUCCAAUGAGUAAGUAUCUCUCUGCAGAAGUUGGACCCUAGACCCAUGAGCACAGGCCUCUGGGUGUGUGCAGAGCUCAGGAGCAGAACCGCUGUUGUCGUCUUGCAGCAGGGGAACAGCUCCCCAGAGCAGGGAGGCUCCUUGGCAUCAGACAGCCCCUGGGUAGAGUGCGAUCCUAGGUCUCAACGGAAUCCACUGAGGGAGUCUAAGUCAUGAGGCUGAGUUGGCAGAUGUGGCCCUUAGGACAAAAUGGCGUUUGCAACAUGGAUUGUCUCUAACCUUUUACUUUGAGGGAUCAUUUGAAAUAUCGCACUGGGGCCUUUGUCAUUUACCGUAGUCUUUUAACUUGAAUGGUUUGGUCAAGUUUUGUAUGCUAGCAGUUUGAUCAGUGACCGGCUCAUCUUACCUCUCAUACUACUCAUCUCCUACCCCCCAACCCAUACACAGUUUUCCACCGAACGCUAGAAAAAAUAAUUGUUAAUAGGUUGGAAAGCUCUAUUUGUAUAUUGUUCUUUGCUAGUGGAGGGUGGUGUCAAUAACAUCUUUUAUAGCUGUGAAAUUAUUUUACCAGUUAAAAAUUUGAUGUGUAUUUUUUCUUCUUAAUUAGAAGAGCAGGUUUGAACCAAUAAGUUGCUGUAGAUAAACUUAAAAAUUAUGGCUUUUAUCUGUUUAGAGAUAAAUAAUGUGUUAUCACAUUCAUGUAAUGUAGAUUAUUCUUUGGGACUUUAAUUUUUUAAACUUAAGUCAGGGUUAAAGAUGUAGUAACAAUAUUUGGCAUUUCCUGUUGCUUAAGUGAGGCCAGUCUUAAAUGUUACGAUAUUUACUUCAUGUAUUCUUGUACUGUUGAUUUUCAUUCGUUGGAAUUCUAGAUCUAAGAUGUGAUAUUUGGACUAAAUAAAACUUACAGUGUUGUAAGUGCUCUUUAAUAAAUAAUUACACCCAAGUAAUAGGGUA